UACGUAGGGUGCGAGCGUUGUCCGGAAUUACUGGGCGUGAAGAGCUCGUAGGUGGUUUGUCGCGUUGUCCGUGAAAACUCACAGCUCAACUGUGGGCGUGCGGGCGAUACGGGCAGACUGGAGUACUGCAGGGGAGACUGGAAUUCCUGGUGUAGCGGUGGAAUGCGCAGAUAUCAGGAGGAACACCGGUGGCGAAGGCGGGAUCCUGGGCCAGUACUGACGCUGAGGAGCGAAAGCGUGGGGAGCAAACAGG
rnacentral:rRNA from 1 species